rnacentral:lncRNA from 1 species
GAAAUACUGCCGGCUAGCGCUGCGGGAAACGGCUCCCCUUAACUCUGAAGUUCCGCGAUCUUCUCUUUGUGCGCGGGCGGAUGGAUCAACGCCGCCAAGUGGUGAGUUUGGAAGGUUUCAAGUUUAGAAGGUUUCAAGUUUAGAAGGUUUCAAGUUUGGAAAGAAAUGAAAUUAUGUGAUGAGGUUUCUAACUGGGCCCAGGAGGGGGCGAGGUAGGCAAAACAGAGACUAGCUCUGCCUGGAGGGAAAAAAAAGCAACAUUUGUGACCAGCCUAGGCGACAUAGUGAGACCUGUCUCUACAAAAAAUAUAUAAUUAGCUGGGCGUGGUGGCGCGCGCCUGUGGUCCAAGCUUCUCCGGAGGCUGAGGUCGGGGGAUCGCCUGAGCCCUGGAGGUCGUUGCUGCAUUGAGCCGUGAACGCACCACUGCAUUCCAGCCUGGGCAACAGAGCGAACUCUAUCUCAAAACAAAACAAAACAAAACAAGAAAAAGAAAAAAAGAAGAAAAUUAAAAAAAAAAAGAAAGAAAAAGAACGUCCCAGGUCUGUUGAAGCACUAAGAAAAGCAGAAAAAGAAAGGGGAGCCAGGGAAGGGCUGGCAGGCUGUGCAAUUUAAGGGAGCACCAGAAAAACUGGCAAUCAAAUAAUAUAUUAAUGUAAUAUUUUAAAAAGUAAAAAUUAAUGCAGGAAAUCCGGGAGGAACAAAAUAAGAGUCAUGUGUACCUUAACAACAGGGUAAGGUCUGAGGAUUGCGUCAUUAGGCGAUUUUGUUGCUGUACGAACACCACAGAAUGUACUUUGACGACCUAGAUGGUGGAGCCUGGACACACCUCGGCUCUGUGGUGUGGCCUGCUGCUUCCAGGCUGCAAACCUGACAGCAUGGGGCUGUACUGAAUACCGCAGACCAUUGUAAUUCAUGGGGAAAGCGCGAAUGCAGUCCCCCACUACAACAAAUUAUGCAGUCGAGUUUUCCACAUUUGGGAAUAUCACAGGGGUCAGCACAUCCGGAGUGCAAUCGAUGAGCCCCACGCUGGGAAAAACCACCUUCGUGAUCAUGGUAUCUUCCCUGCCAGAGAGAAACCAAUCAGCUUCAUUUUCAACUUCUUCUAUGACUCCAGAGGAUUCACUUUGCAUCUUGUGACAAAUGAAUAUAUUACCUGAAAAAAAAAUGACAGGAUAGAUAUUGAAGAAAUAAUUUUUUAUAGGACUCUGGAGUGAAGGGAUUAAUAUUGACCAGAGCCAAUGAGGUCAUCUCAUCCUUGAGGGGAGCAGGUGUGAGCUUCAAAUGCUUAGGGCCUCUGGAAGGAAGCUUCCCUGUUGGAGAAAUCACCAACCGGCUCAGCAUGGUCUGAAUGAGGAUGACAAAAGGAGUUGCUGCACAGGGGGAAAGCGAAGUUCCCAGGAGUAAGAUGUGCAAGAAGCGGGCAGCCUUGCAUCUCAGGGCUGAGUUCCCUCAACUGUGUGCUUGAGGGAAGUUCUCCCCUUGCAGACACACUGCUGAGUGAUAAGGAAGCACCUAGACUCCACUCUGACCAGACUUGGUUCUGAGGCCUAUGAAAUGUUGAUGGGAAGAACAGAAGCAGGAAAAUCUAUCUAUUCAAAUUUGCAAGACGUGGAAACUUUUAUUCACCUUCCUGGUUAGACUGUUCCUUUGUCAAAGUAAAGCUAAGGCCAUGGAAAAUGAGCUAUUUGAGAGUUUGUCGCUCCAAGGAAGAACAUGCUGGCCUAAUUGUCCCCCAAGUCAGGAGAGAGAAUUGUAAAAAACACUUAAACAGGCCUAAGUAAAGGUCCAGCACAUUAUUUAUUUAAGACUGAAUUAGAACUGAGUCAUUCCGACUCUGAAAAAAGAGUGUUGUUGGAUUCUUAUGUAUUUAAUGGGUCUGCCCUAUUGAAAACCAUUGUGAAGUAUGGUUUCCCAAGCAAGAAAUGACACUUUCACUGUCAGUCUUUCUAGGAGUCUGGCAGAAUCCAGGACCGGGAUUACCCUUAUUUAUGAAGCGACCUUAGACUAACAGUGGCUCUCUGGGUCUCCAGACAAUUGGCCAGGGACUCUAAAAACCAGAAACAAAGUUGAGAGAACUCCAUGCUGGUGGAGAAAAACAGCUGGCCUUUAUCACCAGAAUGUGCCCCAUAGAAGCAGCAAAGCAGCAAGCGACGUUCUUAAACAAGGGCCUGUGGGCCUCGUCAAGAUCUGGAGGAAUCAUCUACGACUCACUGCUGAGUGAGAGGGCUAGGCAGUGUCUUUAAGGUCCUGCCAGCUUUAACAUUGUAUGCUUUUUCUUUUGUUCAAUCUCUCACCACAACUGGAAGUGUUGCCUCAACUACACAGGAGAAAGUUUGCAGUAACUUAGAGAAAACAUUAUUUUAAUCACCAGUGUAUGUUCUCCUGCUCCCUGGACAAAUCCAUCAGCAGCGGCAACACUGACCAGGUCCAGAUUGGGGCCGCUGCGGUGGAUGUGAAUCCAUUGAAACUAGGGGUCUCCAGUGCUCCUGACUCCUCACAGCUCUGUUCCUAUGACAAGGAUGGUCAGCAAAGCCAGCAACCUUGAAGGGGGACCUUCUUCUAAUCUCCUCCCUGCCUGCUGAGAGAGUGUACAGAAGCAGCCACUUGUCAGCUGCGAUGAAUCCAAUGAUAAUUACAUAAAUCAUUAACAAUACUUGAUAUUUGCCCAUCACAUUUCUCAUUUCAAAGUGCUCAUAAAAUUGUAUCUCAUGGGUGGCACUGCCGGCACAACAGAAUUCCAAGGAAGGAUUACGGGCUAAGUAAAUAAAGCCUGGAGGCUGCUUUAAAGCCUAGGAGUCUGUUAUUAACCCUUUCCUCCUUUUUGUUUAACUUUUUCUCAUGGAAAUGUUCAAACAUACCAAAAAUAGAGAAAAUACUAUAAUGAGUCCUUAUGUAUCCAUAACCUAGCUUCAAAAAUUAUGUAUGGCUUUACAGUCUUGUUUAGUUCAUAACUGCAACUUCAUUGAGGGUGAGUGCUGGGGUAUUGUGAAGCAAAUCAGUGACAACAUAUUUUACCCAUGGAUACUUUAGUGCCAUUAAUAAAAACCCCUAGGUUAUUCUAUUAAUUUGAAAUCUACUAUAAAUCUAUCUGAUGAAUAAAUCAAACAGAUUUUAACAAAUUGCUUCUCUUGCCAAAGUUUCCCAUUUGCUAGAACUAGAGAUUAUUCAUCAAAAUAGCUGUGACAGUAGAAACAUACCACUUGUCUACACACACAACACAUAGCAUACUUAGAAUAGGAAUAGAUCUCUGAUUUGAUGUCCCAGUAAUUUAGAGAUUGAUGAUAUCCUACCGAUACUUUAAGGAGCAGACAUUUUAAAACGAUGGUACAGACCCACUAGUCUGACCUUUUCUCUGUUAGUCACAGUUGGGCUGUGGUCAUUCCCGGAGUCCCUAAGAUUAGAACAGGUAAUGGGUCACCUGUGUGACCUGCACCAAGGCCAGCCCCACCGCCCCCGGCCACAGAAAUAAGAUCUCUCUCUCUCUCUGUCUGUCUCUGUGUGUGUAUGUAUGUGUGUAUGUCUGUUUCUGCCUCUCCCACAUCACAUACAUACAUACACACACACACACACACACACACAGUGCCUCACUGGGAAGAAAUGAGCAGGUAUGGAGGAGACAUUCUCAGAGAUGGAUCUCUACUGUGCUCCGUCUUGACUUAUUUGCUGUCAGUGCUCCAAGGGAUGAGCUCUGGAGGUCAUCAGUAACUUGGUCAAACAUCCACAGCUACUUCUUCAUCCUUCUGAUCCAAUCAAGAGAUUCCUAUGCUGAAGUUUUACCUU